rnacentral:lncRNA from 1 species
GGAAGUAUGGAGGAAGAGGAAAGUCCCCUGAGUUAUUUUGUUUGCCAAGCAAAAUAUAAAUUAAGAAGCUUGCAUGCAGCAUGGGCAGUUAGCUGUAGAUCCAUUGGAUGGAAUUUUCUACAACCUUAGGAUGGAUAGAAGCUAAUGACGGUCUAGGUGUGCCCUCUAUUCAAUAUUCUUUGACUGAAAUUGAAUUGAUAUAGGAGCAGCGUGUUGGUUUAGAAUGAAAUAGGACAUUUCAUAAGCCAGCCAAAAUGCAAAAAGCAGACAGGAAAACCAAGCAGGACAGGAAAAACAUCCCUUGAAACAUGAGCCAGGGAGGGUUAGGUUUGAAAUGACAAAAGAUCUGAGCUCCAGAGAGUCCGAGUAUUACAUUCUGAACCAAUUACUGACAGAAGUCAUGAGGCUAUGGACCUGGGGAAGGACAACCAUGGGUAAUGGAAGCAGGUGGCUUAGAAAAAAAAAGCACCUUUCCUCUAGGCACACUCCUGGGUAAUCUGGUGUGUUUGGAACAUGUAUGAGCCUGAGACUGAGCUAUCAGGACACAGGCCAUGGUGAGCCAGCUGGGGUGUGCCAGGUGCAUGUGGAUCAUGCAUUCCCCUAUUGAGUUACAACAUCCUGUGGGUUCAUACCAGCCUCACAGUGCUCCUUGCACAACCUGCUGUUCAGGGAGCUUUCCGUAAGGGCAGGUGCUUCCUCACAAUGAAGGGCAUGGACACCUGCUGCACUAUGCAAUAGUAGUGAGGAUGGGAGGAGCAUGGAGAAGCCAAAUAUGUAGGAAAGGCAUCCUCUUCUUAACUCAGACUGCUGAGUCCCUAAUUACCAGCUGCAGACCACCAAUAAGGGUGGAGCACCAUGCCUGGACAUAGUGGCCAUGCUUUUAUAUUUGGACUGGACAAAAGGGAUCUUGAUAAGAGUUUAGCCUUGGAAGGACUCCUACAGAGAGCAUCUAUGACCCCCAAAGACAGAUUUCAGGCCUACUAAAAGUCUCUUUCUCAUGAGACACUUACCCAUUGAUCAAAUGACUUCUCAUUCAUGGUGUUAUCAGUCCUGUUACAAUGUUGUUUAACCUGUAACAUGGAUAUAAUAUCUGCCCUGCCUUCAUUUUAGGAUUCUAGGGAAGUGCUUGGAAGAGCACCAAGUGCAAUGCAACUAUAGGGUUAUUAAUAAUGUUGCUAUUAUACAUUUUGAUUGAUGAGAUUUUGACAAUGGGAAGCCCCCUCUCUCCCCACUCUGGCCACAGGACCUGUUCCUAAACGUACAUCUCAGUCCACACUCCAAAGACAUUUCUUGGAAACGCUUCUCAUUGUGGUUCAUUCUAUAAAAAAGUGCUCCGGCUCCAAGUGGGCAUGAAAGUUCAUCACAACAUUUGCCAUCAAUAAAAACCCAAUUCUUUCCAUGUGAAAAGCAUUACUGCUGUCAAAUGGUUAUUGAGUGAUGAUACCUGAAUAAUGGGAAUAUAGGAACCGGAAAAUAUACAAAGGGAAACCUCACUGGGAUGCCAAAUUGUAAAGACAGAAAUGCGAAUAUCUGAGGGAAAUUAGUUAAGCAGAGCACAGCACACAUGCCUUCACCAAGGAGGGAAGAUGAGCAGGCAGGAUCGGUGGAAGGUAGAGAGAAGAAGUGCUGGGUUGAGCAUGGCUUUAUCCACUUCCUGGUGGGCCUGGGGCAAGUCGCUGAGCUAUAUUCAGGCCCAGUUACAUUGUCUGUUAAAUGGGAAUGAUUCUUCCCUCAUGGAUGUGUGUGAGAAACAGAUGGUAUCAAAUGGUGGAAAUGAGAGCAUCAACAAUGCCCUUUUGAUACGUCACAGAAGACGGUAACUAUGACAGCCCAUAGACCACGCCCACUUUACGGCCAGCCCUCUCAGUCCAGGAACUUGUUGAAAGUUAUCGUCUCAAAAAUUCUGUCACAAUAGCUGGUGCCUUUGCAAUUAAGCUCCUUUGGUCACACAGGACCCCUGGAGCUCAUUUGAGACACUUCCACGCCUAAGGGUCAGAAGCUGGUCCAGAACACCAAGGGAGCAGCCUCUUUUGGCAACCCACCUGGCUGCCUGUGAGGCUUCCUGGCCGGGAUGCCCUGCUGCCUCCUCUUGAAAUGCAGCUCUGCCCUCUGCUACUUCAGCUCCUGGCCACCUUCCAGUUCAGCUGCACAUGCUCACAUGUUACCAGCCCACUCCUGUGCCAUUCUUGGCUGACCAGAAGGAAUCAGCGCGGCAACGGCCUUGGAAUGAAAAGACUACUAAUUACUCCAAUUAACCAAGCACAUUAAGUGCACAUGUUCAAACGCAUAUUAAGAUACCAUCUAUCUCGGUCCUGAAGUUCUCGAGAUGCUGGAAUGCAUAAACAUUCAGUGGAAGAAUUGUGACUGCAGAGAAAACACAAACAGAGCAGGCUGUUUGUUUGUGUGACUGCCUACUUGUGGAGAAAUAACCAAGAGAUGUGGAAAGACAUGAGGGCUUCUCCCCAGUUUAUGUUUGUAAUUAUUGCCCAGAGGAGACAGAACAAAGAGCUUUCUAUUUAUAGCCAAAG